GAGUAAUGUCUGGGAAACUGCCUGAUGGAGGGGGAUAACUACUGGAAACGGUGGCUAAUACCGCAUAACGUCGCAAGACCAAAGAGGGGGACCUUCGGGCCUCUUGCCAUCAGAUGUGCCCAGAUGGGAUUAGCUUGUUGGUGAGGUAACGGCUCACCAAGGCGACGAUCCCUAGCUGGUCUGAGAGGAUGACCAGCCACACUGGAACUGAGACACGGUCCAGACUCCUACGGGAGGCAGCAGUGGGGAAUAUUGCACAAUGGGCGCAAGCCUGAUGCAGCCAUGCCGCGUGUAUGAAGAAGGCCUUCGGGUUGUAAAGUACUUUCAGCGGGGAGGAAGGUGUUGUGGUUAAUAACCGCAGCAAUUGACGUUACC
rnacentral:rRNA from 2 species